GAUUGUGUGUGUGAGGAUCCAGUGCAAGACAGAGAAACUGUUCCAGGUAUUUGGAGCACAAAUAGGUUUAAUACAAGGAAGUAGAUGCUCAUAAAAUCAGUAGACAGAUCAAGGAAUGGGCGUGAGGGGGCUGCUGCUGAGCUAUUCACAGGACUAUAGAGAAGGAGCCAGAGGAGAGGAGGCUGCUGCUGACUCCACUGGCUCUGCUGGCUCCCUGAAACUAGGCAUCAGGACUCAAAAAGCACUCCCAUGAGAACCACCUCCUUGCUUUCAGAAGCUGAAGGAGGUGGCCCGCAGCCGCUACUCCAGAUCUGCCUUCCACAUUUUCCACAGGUUUUUCUGACUGUGGCAGGCAAUUCUUAGUCAAAUCUCCAGCUACUCGCAACUUCAUCCAUGCUGUUGUAAAUGGCAAGAUCUCUUUCUUUUUUAAGGCUGAGUAAUAUUCUAUUGCAUAGAUGCAGCACAUCUUCUUUACCCACUCACUUGUAGAUGAUGAACAUGGGAAUGCAGAUGUGUCUUUGCGAUCCUGAUUUCAAUUUUCAGGAAAUGUACCCAGAAGUGAAAUCACUGUGUCACAUGGCAAACCUCAACUUUGAUGAAUGAUAUAUUUUACCAAGUGGAAAGAAAAGCAUGGGGUUCCUGAAGUUUAGGAUGGAGUCCCAAAGAGGCCCUCAGUCUUUGCACCUUCACCUUAGUAAACCCUGCUGACACCAUGUGGAUGAUGUCUGGACAUCAGUGGGAUACUACAUUUUGAGAGGAAAUAGGGGUAUGCUGAAAAAUUUCAAAUGACUUGUGUCUCUUAAGUCCCGGAAGUGCUAACCCAUUGCUAUUGGAAGAACGGAAAUGCCAUCUGGCCCCAGAUAUGAUAGAUACCAUGACAACACUCAGGGGGAGUGAAAGCAUAAACAGGAACUGGGGCCAGAAGAUCCUGACUUGGAGAAUGGCAAUCUGUGAGAAUGUCUGGUUUAACACUCAAAGAGUCAAAAGAAAAGCACGACGUCUACACAAUAGCCUUUUCACUUAUUGCUGGUGCCCCUCACUCUCUUUGGGAAGCUCCCCGUAUCAUGCCCAAUGGAGAAGGGAUUUGCUGAGCCUUCAUGUGCUCAUAGAACCUGUCUUAAGAUUUGCUUCAACUACGAAAAUGCUUUCACCUUUAUUCUAAUAUAAGUUGCUAUUUUUCCCCUUAGAAUGUGUAACUAUGGUUUUCGUAGACUAAAUCAUGCCAAUAAAUACUUUCACAUAUUGCCGGUAGGAGUAUAAAUGGAUUCAACCAUUUUGGAAGGCAAAUUGGAAAUAUGUAUCAAGAACUUUAAAAAUGUCACUUUGGUACAAUAAUAACACUUCUUUGACUUUAUCCUGAGAAAAUUACCCAAGAGAGACAUGGAGAUAACACCUUCAUUUCAAACAUACUCAUCAUGGAUUAUUUAUAAAAAACAUUGUAAACGAUGAACAAAAGGGUACCUCCAGAUAGAAAUGUUUAUUUCAAAGUUUGUAUAACGACAUGAAGCAGGUAA